rnacentral:rRNA from 1 species
UGAACGCUGGCGGCAGGCCUAACACAUGCAAGUCGAGCGGUAGCACAGAGAGCUUGCUCUCGGGUGACGAGCGGCGGACGGGUGAGUAAUGUCUGGGAAACUGCCUGAUGGAGGGGGAUAACUACUGGAAACGGUAGCUAAUACCGCAUAACGUCGCAAGACCAAAGUGGGGGACCUUCGGGCCUCAUGCCAUCAGAUGUGCCCAGAUGGGAUUAGCUAGUAGGUGGGGUAACGGCUCACCUAGGCGACGAUCCCUAGCUGGUCUGAGAGGAUGACCAGCCACACUGGAACUGAGACACGGUCCAGACUCCUACGGGAGGCAGCAGUGGGGAAUAUUGCACAAUGGGCGCAAGCCUGAUGCAGCCAUGCCUCGUGUGUGAAGAAGGCCUUCGGGUUGUAAAGCACUUUCAGCGGGGAGGAAGGCGGUGAGGUUAAUAACCUCAUCGAUUGACGUUACCCGCAGAAGAAGCACCGGCUAACUCCGUGCCAGCAGCCGCGGUAAUACGGAGGGUGCAAGCGUUAAUCGGGAUUACUGGGCGUAAAGCGCACGCAGGCGGUCUGUCAAGUCGGAUGUGAAAUCCCCGGGCUUAACCUGGGAACUGCAUUCGAAACUGGCAGGCUAGAGUCUUGUAGAGGGGGGUAGAAUUCCAGGUGUAGCGGUGAAAUGCGUAGAGAUCUGGAGGAAUACCGGUGGCGAAGGCGGCCCCCUGGACAAAGACUGACGCUCAGGUGCGAAAGCGUGGGGAGCAAACAGGAUUAGAUACCCUGGUAGUCCACGCCGUAAACGAUGUCGAUUUGGAGGUUGUGCCCUUGAGGCGUGGCUUCCGGAGCUAACGCGUUAAAUCGACCGCCUGGGGAGUACGGCCGCAAGGUUAAAACUCAAAUGAAUUGACGGGGGCCCGCACAAGCGGUGGAGCAUGUGGUUUAAUUCGAUGCAACGCGAAGAACCUUACCUGGUCUUGACAUCCACAGAACUUUCCAGAGAUGGAUUGGUGCCUUCGGGAACUGUGAGACAGGUGCUGCAUGGCUGUCGUCAGCUCGUGUUGUGAAAUGUUGGGUUAAGUCCCGCAACGAGCGCAACCCUUAUCCUUUGUUGCCAGCGGUUAGGCCGGGAACUCAAAGGAGACUGCCAGUGAUAAACUGGAGGAAGGUGGGGAUGGCGUCAAGUCAUCAUGGCCCUUACGACCAGGGCUACACACGUGCUACAAUGGCAUAUACAAAGAGAAGCGACCUCGCGAGAGCAAGCGGACCUCAUAAAGUAUGUCGUAGUCCGGAUUGGAGUCUGCAACUCGACUCCAUGAAGUCGGAAUCGCUAGUAAUCGUAGAUCAGAAUGCUACGGUGAAUACGUUCCCGGGCCUUGUACACACCGCCCGUCACACCAUGGGAGUGGGUUGCAAAAGAAGUAGGUAGCUUAACCUUCGGGAGGGCGCUUACCACUUUGUGAUUCAUGACUGGGGUGAAG